rnacentral:rRNA from 1 species
AUUGAACGCUGGCGGCAGGCCUAACACAUGCAAGUCGAACGAGUGGCGGACGGGUGAGUAAUGUCUGGGAAACUGCCUGAUGGAGGGGGAUCACUUCGGGAAACGGUAGCUAAUACCGCAUACCAUCAGAUGUGCCCAGAGGGGAUUAGCUUGUGGGUGGGGUAACGGCUCACCAAGGCGACGAUCCCUAGCUGGUAUGAGAGGAUGACCGGCCACCCCGGAACUGAGAAACGGGCCCGCCGCCUACGGGAGGCAGCAGUGGGGAAUAUUGCAAAAUGGGCGCAAGCCUGAUAGAGCCAUGCCGGGUGGAUGAAGAAGGCCUUCGGGUUUGAAAGUCAUUUCAGCGGGGAGGCGUUACCCGCAGAAGAAGCACCGGCUAACUCCGUGCCAGCCGCCGCGGUAAUAC